UACAGAGGUCUCAAGCGUUGUUCGGAUUCAUUGGGCGUAAAGGGUGCGUAGGUGGCGUCGUAAGUCGGGUGUGAAAUUUCGGAGCUUAACUCCGAAACUGCAUUCGAUACUGCGGUGCUUGAGGACUGGAGAGGAGACUGGAAUUUACGGUGUAGCAGUGAAAUGCGUAGAGAUCGUAAGGAAGACCAGUGGCGAAGGCGGGUCUCUGGACAGUUCCUGACACUGAGGCACGAAGGUCAGGGGAGCAAACGGG
rnacentral:rRNA from 1 species